CAGAGAACAUCGCCCUCACGGGUGACUCUCCAACCCUUAUGUUAUUAAAACCUUUGUUGCUUUGGCGAGCCGCUUCGGCCACCGGCGUCUUGCUGGUGUGCGCUCGCCAGAGGACCCCAAACUCUUGUUUAUUAAUGUCGUCUGAGUACUAUAUAAUAGUUA
rnacentral:misc_RNA from 1 species